rnacentral:rRNA from 1 species
UACAGAGGGGGCAAGCGUUGUUCGGAAUUACUGGGCGUAAAGGGCUCGUAGGCGGCCAACUAAGUCGGACGUGAAAUCCCCAGGCUCAACCUGGGAACUGCGUCCGAUACUGGAUGGCUUGAAUCCGGGAGAGGGAUGCAGAAUUCCAGGUGUAGCGGUGAAAUGCGUAGAUAUCUGGAGGAACACCGGUGGCGAAGGCGGCAUCCUGGACCGGCAUUGACGCUGAGGCGCGAAAGCUAGGGGAGCAAACGGG